rnacentral:rRNA from 1 species
CUGAUUUUAUUUUAAUGGCCGCGGUAUUUUAACUGUGCAAAGGUAGCAUAAUCAUUAGUCUUUUAAUUGAGGGCUUGUAUGAAUGGUCGGACAAAUUACCUGCUGUCUUGGUUAAGAUUUUGUAGAAUUUUAUUUUUUAGUUAAAAAGCUAAAAUUAUAUUGAAAGACGAGAAGACCCUAUAGAUCUUUAUAAUUUUUUUUUUAUAUUAAUUUGGGUUUAAUGGUUUUAUAUAAUAGAUUAUAUUAUUUUGUUGGGGUGACAUUGAAAUUUAUUUAACUUUCAAUUUAUUUUUACAUUAAUUAAUGGGUUUUUGAUCCUAUAGUAUAGAUUUUUAAGUUAAGUUACCUUAGGGAUAACAGCGUAAUUUUUUUGGAGAGUUCUUAUCGAUAAAAUAGAUUGCGACCUCGAUGUUGGAUUAAGAGUUAUUUUUAGGUGCAGGAGUCUAAUUAUAUAAGUCUGUUCGACUUUUUUAUCUUACAUGAUCUGA